AUGCUCGCGGCCAGGCCCUGCUGAUCCUCUGGCGCUGACCACAGGGGAGGAGGCAGCUCUCGUCGGUGCGCAGGCGUUUCCAGAGGCAGCAGGGGGGAAGCGUUGUUGUCAAACAGAUUCAGGGAAUUUCAAAGUCCAGCUCAACUAACCCCUGGCACCAUCCAGCUACUUCCACUUAAACGUUUAACAUGCAAAUGUAGAGAGCCCAAAAUUCCGUGAGUGAGUGACAGGGCACAGGUAUUCCUGAUUUAUUAAAACUGAUGGAAGCGCCCCCCCCCCCCCCCACUGGGCAGGUUAGCAAGAGGACUUCUCCAAGGAGCACCUAGUAGGAUGUGGGGGGGACCAUCCGAAAGGGCUGUUCAGAUACUCUUAACCAGAAAGUUCUGUUUCCCCGUUUCUCCAGGUUGGACAUCCUCCCCAUGAAGAGAGAACCGCAGCAAGGGAGAGGAAGAGGAUGGUUCUCUGGGUUCCCAUGAAGUAGGAGCAUUUCCACUUUUUCUCCAGGUUCUCUGCAGAAGGCAGUGAGACACUCCAGAGAAUGUUUGUGGAAAGGGCGAAUGAGCACGGAAGCAGCUGGAGGGAGAGGACAGAGGGAAACCAAAAAGCCACUAGAGCAGGAAUUGUCCUAAACAACUUGAAGAAAAUACGCCGAGGGAAUUAUUUUCAAAACACAGCACCCAACCUUAGAUGUGCGAGGCCUCUAGUGGAAACGUCUGGUGGUUUCUGUCUCGCGGUGAGAGCUUCUCCACGACUGAACCCAGAGGAACAUGGCGGCUGUUUUCCUUUCUUGAGGUAGACGAGGCAAGAGGUGAUGGAGGAGACUCCCUUCACGGUGAGGUUUUAGGCCAC
rnacentral:lncRNA from 1 species